rnacentral:rRNA from 2 species
ACGGGAGGCAGCAGUGGGGAAUAUUGCACAAUGGGGGAAACCCUGAUGCAGCGAUGCCGCGUGGAGGAAGAAGGUUUUCGGAUUGUAAACUCCUGUCUUAAAGGACGAUAAUGACGGUACUUUAGGAGGAAGCUCCGGCUAACUACGUGCCAGCAGCCGCGGUAAUACGUAGGGAGCAAGCGUUAUCCGGAUUUACUGGGUGUAAAGGGCGUGUAGGCGGGACAUCAAGUCAGAUGUGAAAGCACGAGGCUCAACUUCGUGUCUGCAUUUGAAACUGACGUUCUUGAGUGUUGGAGAGGCUAACGGAACUCCUAGUGUAGCGGUGAAAUGCGUAGAUAUUAGGAAGAACACCAGUGGCGAAGGCGGUUAGCUGGACAAUAACUGACGCUGAGGCGCGAAAGCGUGGGUAGCAAACAGGAUUAGAUACCCUGGUA